CAGAAUUUAAUGGAUACACCUGUCUUGUCUCCAUUUUAAGAUAGUCCCUCUGACAUGUACAGACCAAACAUGAAAUUAGGAAUUUGUGUGGCUAUAGUAAAAAAACCUGUUUAUUUUAAGUGAAGUGCUAUGGAGUGUAUGAAUGUGUUUUUAUUUAUUUGCUUAUUUUGGCUCAGGACCCUGUUUCAAGUAAGGUAUAAUACAUUAACCCAUCAUCUCACCUGUAUGGAAGUAGAAGGACUAAAUUAACGACUGUGUCCUUUUACAGAAAAUUAC